GUUUGAUCCUGGCUCAGGACGAACGCUGGCGGCGUGCUUAACACAUGCAAGUCGAGCGGAAAGGCCACUUCGGUGGUACUCGAGCGGCGAACGGGUGAGUAACACGUGAGUAAUCUGCCCUUGGCUUCGGGAUAGCCACCGGAAACGGUGAUUAAUACCGGAUAUGACACUGUCACGCAUGUGGUGGUGUGGAAAGUUUUUCGGCCAGGGAUGUGCUCGCGGCCUAUCAGCUUGAUGGUGAGGUAAUGGCUCACCAUGGCUUCGACGGGUAGCCGGCCUGAGAGGGUGACCGGUCACACUGGGACUGAGACACGGCCCAGACUCCUACGGGAGGCAGCAGUGGGGAAUAUUGGACAAUGGGCGGAAGCCUGAUCCAGCAACGCCGCGUGAGGGAUGACGGCCUUCGGGUUGUAAACCUCUUUCGCCUGUGACGAAGCGCAAGUGACGGUAACAGGUAAAGAAGCACCGGCCAACUACGUGCCAGCAGCCGCGGUAAUACGUAGGGUGCGAGCGUUGUCCGGAAUUAUUGGGCGUAAAGGGCUCGUAGGCGGUUUGUCGCGUCGGGAGUGAAAACCAGGUGCUUAACACCUGGCUUGCUUUCGAUACGGGCAGACUAGAGGUAUUCAGGGGAGAACGGAAUUCCUGGUGUAGCGGUGAAAUGCGCAGAUAUCAGGAGGAACACCGGUGGCGAAGGCGGUUCUCUGGGAAUGACCUGACGCUGAGGAGCGAAAGUGUGGGGAGCGAACAGGAUUAGAUACCCUGGUAGUCCACACCGUAAACGUUGGGCGCUAGGUGUGGGGUCCAUUCCACGGAUUCCGUGCCGCAGCUAACGCAUUAAGCGCCCCGCCUGGGGAGUACGGCCGCAAGGCUAAAACUCAAAGGAAUUGACG
rnacentral:rRNA from 1 species